AAACAUGCAGACACCUUCCUGGAGAAGUUCGUUACUGAGUCAAUAAUGAACAUUGUGAGCAGCUUCUUUAAUUCUCCAUUUUCAGACAACAGUACCAGCCUCCAGACAAACAAAAGCUGAGUUCAUCACCACUAGAGCGCUUCACAAGAAAUGCUAAAGGGAGAUCUUCAAGUUGAAAUGAAAGGAUGCUAAGUAACAACAUGAAAACAUACGAAAGUAUAAAACUCACUGAUAAAGAAAGUGAAAAAAUGUCUCACCAAGGGAACUGCUGUAUAAGUGGACCUGGAACUCACAUGUCACCCUGAAAAUCUGAAGAGAGCAUCUCUGAGGUUACAAUUGAAGAUGAUAACCAGAGUUUUGAUAACCACAGGUCAUUUGCUCCAAGCAAGAAGACUCGUAAUUAAUGUUGCCUGUUCUUCGCUGAAAAUGAACUCAAGGCACAUCCACAUGAAAUGGAAGAGCCACUCUGUCAGUAGUUUUCUGACCUUGACCAAUGGUUUUAUGGUUCUGAAGGUACCACAAAGACAUGUCACUCCAGAGUCCUGCUGAUGUCUAAAGAUGCACCAACACACUA